UACGUAGGGCGCAAGCGUUGUCCGGAAUUAUUGGGCGUAAAGAGCUCGUAGGCGGCCUGUCGCGUCGGCUGUGAAAACCCGGGGCUCAACCCCGGGCCUGCAGUCGAUACGGGCAGGCUAGAGUCCGGCAGGGGAGACUGGAAUUCCUGGUGUAGCGGUGAAAUGCGCAGAUAUCAGGAGGAACACCGGUGGCGAAGGCGGGGUUCUGA
rnacentral:rRNA from 1 species